GAUGAACGCUGGCGGCGUGCCUAAUACAUGCAAGUCGAGCGAACAGAUGAGGAGCUUGCUCCUCUGACGUUAGCGGCGGACGGGUGAGUAACACGUGGAUAACCUACCUAUAAGACUGGGAUAACUUCGGGAAACCGGAGCUAAUACCGGAUAAUAUAUUGAACCGCAUGGUUCAAUAGUGAAAGACGGUUUUGCUGUCACUUAUAGAUGGAUCCGCGCCGCAUUAGCUAGUUGGUAAGGUAACGGCUUACCAAGGCAACGAUGCGUAGCCGACCUGAGAGGGUGAUCGGCCACACUGGAACUGAGACACGGUCCAGACUCCUACGGGAGGCAGCAGUAGGGAAUCUUCCGCAAUGGGCGAAAGCCUGACGGAGCAACGCCGCGUGAGUGAUGAAGGUCUUGGAUCGUAAAACUCUGUUAUUAGGGAAGAACAAAUGUGUAAGUAACUAUGCACGUCUUGACGGUACCUAAUCAGAAAGCCACGGCUAACUACGUG
rnacentral:rRNA from 1 species